CCGACAUCGUACCACUUUUCAAUUUGUGGUGUCCGGGUGCGUUUUGUGCGAUUCACGCACUGCGGCGACGUCGGGAAUUGCGCCGACGAGUACGCGACCGCUCGCAGAGACAAAGUCCGAAAGCUCGUCAGCCGGGGCGGCGCGCGCAAGCGACGUUCAGCGCAACUUUUCCGUGGAAAUACCGAAAGCGGCUCGCACGUUUGCCUUGUAUCGGUGAGCUGGGGCACCGUGGUGCACGCGAGAGGUGGAAAGACGGCUUGAAAAGAGAAAAUGAGGAAUUUCUUUCGGCGCUAACUGCCGCCGGCGGCCACGAGUACGGCCCCAUGGAGGUCUGGGUACUUAUCGCUGCUAUUAUAUAGAGCUAUGCGGCCCCGGCCGACAUCGUACCACUUUUCAAUUUGCGGUGUCCGGGUGCGUUUUGUGCGAUUCACGCACUGCGGCGACGUCGGCAAUUGCGCCGACGAGUACGCGACCGCUCGCAGAGGCAAAGUCCGAAAGCUCGUCAGCCGGGGCGGCGCGCGCAAGCGACGUUCAGCGCAACUUUUCCGUGGAAAUACCGAAAGCGGCUCGCACGUUUGCCUUGUAUCGGUGAGCUGGGGCACCGUGGUGCACGCGAGAGGUGGAAACACGGCUUGAAAAGCAAAAAUGAGGAAUUUCUUUCGGCGCUAACUGCCGCCGGCGGUCACGAGUACGGCCCCAUGGAGGUCUGGGUACUUAUCGCUGCUAUUAUAUAGAGCUAUGCGGCCCCGGCCGACAUCGUACCACUUUUCAAUUUGCGGUGUCCGGGUGCGUUUUGUGCGAUUCACGCACUGCGGCGUCGUCGGCAAUUGCGCCGACGAGUACGCGACCGCUCGCAGAGGCAAAGUCCGAAAGCUCGUCAGCCGGGGCGGCGCGCGCAAGCGACGUUCAGCGCAACUUUUCCGUGGAAAUACCGAAAGCGGCUCGCACGUUUGCCUUGUAUCGGUGAGCUGGGGCACCGUGGUGCACGCGAGAGGUGGAAACACGGCUUGAAAAGCAAAAAUGAGGAAUUUCUUUCGGCGCUAACUGCCGCCGGCGGUCACGAGUACGGCCCCAUGGAGGUCUGGGUACUUAUCGCUGCUAUUAUAUGGAGCUAUGCGGCCCCGGCCGACAUCGUACCACUUUUCAAUUUGCGGUGUCCGGGUGCGUUUUGUGCGAUUCACGCACUGCGGCGACGUCGGGAAUUGCGCCGACGAGUACGCGACCGCUCGCAGAGACAAAGUCCGAAAGCUCGUCAGCCGGGGCGGCGCGCGCAAGCGACGUUCAGCGCAACUUUUCCGUGGAAAUACCGAAAGCGGCUCGCACGUUUGCCUUGUAUCGGUGAGCUGGGGCACCGUGGUGCACGCGAGAGGUGGAAAGACGGCUUGAAAAGCAAAAAUGAGGAAUUUCU